CUACGGGAGGCAGCAGUAAGGAAUAUUGGUCAAUGGACGCAAGUCUGAACCAGCCAUGCCGCGUGGAGGAUGAAGGUCCUCUGGAUUGUAAACUUCUUUUAUCUGGGAAGAAAUCCACAAAUUCUUUUGUGGUUGACGGUACCAGAUGAAUAAGCACCGGCUAACUCCGUGCCAGCAGCCGCGGUAAUACGGAGGGUGCAAGCGUUAUCCGGAUUCACUGGGUUUAAAGGGUGCGUAGGUGGGUUGGUAAGUCAGUGGUGAAAUCUCCAGGCUUAACUUGGAAACUGCCAUUGAUACUAUCAAUCUUGAAUACCGUGGAGGUCAGCGGAAUAUGUCAUGUAGCGGUGAAAUGCUUAGAGAUGACAUAGAACACCAAUUGCGAAGGCAGCUGGCUACGCGGAUAUUGACACUGAUGCACGAAAGCGUGGGGAUCAAACAGGAUUAGAUACCCCGGUAGU
rnacentral:rRNA from 1 species